rnacentral:snRNA from 1 species
UUGCUUUGGCAGCACAUAUACUAAAAUUGGAACAAUACAGAGAAGAUUAACAAGGCCCCUGCGCAAGGAUGACACGCAAAUUCGUGGAGUGUUCCAUAUUAAG